rnacentral:misc_RNA from 1 species
UUGACAUAUUUUUUCCACCUUUUAUAUAGCGUAACCAGGUCAGGCAUUUUAAACUAGAGGCCGCAAUGUGUGCGAAUAAUUGGCAAAAGGCAACCUCAGGCUGCCUUUUUCUUU